rnacentral:lncRNA from 1 species
AGGGGCUACGUGUCGCAAUCCGAAGCGACUUAUGGAACCAACAUCGAACGACUGUGGCGCUGCCACGUCAUAAGUGUCGCACCAGACUUCGUAAUUUCGACUUUGAACUUCAAAAAUUCGUAUCUUUCGCAUAUGAACUCCGUUUUCGAUGUUAUUUAUAUCCACGCGAAGGUGGGAACGUACUCUACAACUUUCGUUUAGACUCCGUCAGCUAAUUUUGACUUUAUUUUAAAAGUUACAUUAUUAACUGGCCGGGACAACAUUGGUCCGUUAAAUUCUCAUAACUUCUUCAUCCGACGUCCGUUUUCACCCAUCUUUUUCUCAUUACGCUACUCUUAACGAGAUAUUCGAUUCUCGUUUAGGUCGUGUCAGCUAAAAACCGCUCGAUCUAAUAUUUGAAUUUCGGGUUGUACACUGCUAAGCUGAAACUUCGAAAAAUCAUAACUUCCUCAUAUGAAGUCAGAUUUGGGCGUUCUUUUUAUGGUGCUCUCGGUUUAACGUAUUCUACGACUAUCGGUUAGAUCACUAAGGCUAGAUCUCGCUCUAUCAUAAAUUCACUAUUUACGCUUCCCGGUAUCGUGUCGGUUCCAUCGCGAAACUUCGACGGGUCAUAACUUCUUCGUUAUAACUCGGAUUUCGGCGUUCUUUAUAUGUACGGAGACCUUGUGACAUAUUCUAAAUCUUGGUUAACAUUAUUUAUUCUAAAUAAUAUUUUUUUUGAAAAGUCGUUUUCGACCCCUAUUGCGUCUAAAUUGGCUAGCCUAGAUCUGCGGGCGUUACAAUUAUCUCCCCCUUAGGUUGAUUACGUCCCAGAAUCAUCAACGAAACAGGGCUCGUAUAAUGACUCCAUACGUCAUCUUUUCAUCCUAGGUAAUAAUUAUAAGUUCUAUUUUCCUUCAAGUCCAUCUCUUAGACUCACAUAUUGUAAGCAGUACUCGAUCAUGCACCUGUUCUCCACCUCAGGCUAGACUCCAAAUUAUGACCUUCAAGUCACAAUCUCGAUCCUUACUGGAUACGAACUUAAGAUAAGUUCUUUUACUACUACUAUGGAUCUAUGUGUCAUAUUCUAAUGACCUAUCAUCGUAUGUUGCAACGCAUAGAUUUAGGUCUUUUAGAGUUAUAUUCUAAAACAGACCAUGCCUUCCUUAAUGUUCUAAUGUGAUAUAAUCACACUUUAACAUGUAGCAUUUCUAGCUACCAACUUCUUUAACAACGAGCACGAUACUUCUAUUGAUCGCUCUGAUUUCAUUUGAUUAGUUUAAGUCGGAUGCUACAUGAACCACGUAACAUACUCAUCGUAGUCGGACUCAAUGUGUUCUGACCACUAGGGUCGGGAUAACAACAAUUUUCUUAGUCAUUACAGAAAAAAUGGUAACGACAUACUUGAAUAAAAUGAAUUCAAUUACUAGCUCGUUGGUAACCUUGUGACUUUCCCUGAUCGAAGUGUGAGUCCUGUGCUUCCAGUAGUAUAGACCUCUACUACCUUUCACACCUACUCAUACUCGUCCCAAGUAUUGUCCCGCAAUUUUCCAAGUCACCAUACAAGAAAUUCAUGUAACAACUUAACACAUCAUAUAUCAAAACGAAGGUUUUAUAUUAUUCCUCAAAAUGAUCACAUAGGUGUUCAAGUUCACCCUAGACUAUGCCUCUAACAGGCUAUAUCACGUGGUACUAUCUACACAACUACUUCAUAACUCGUUCUCUUGAUGUCAAGCCUUCACUCCUGAAUCCUUGCAGUGUCAUCUGCUUCGUCAAGGAUCAUUUGAAAUGCUCUCGCCUUUGGCUUUGGCGGCACAUUUGGCUUCGUAGCCCCUUCUCUCUUUGGGCAGUCUUGUUUGAAGUGUCCCUCUUCACCACACUUAAAGAAGACUUCUCUCUUGGUUGUGCAUUCGCUGGCAUAAUGACUAGUCUUCCCUCAUUGAAAGCAGGUCAUCUCUUUAGAGCAUUUCCUGAUGUGCUUCUUUCUACACUUGUCACACCAUUGCGUUCCUUUUUCGAACUUCUUUCAACCAGACUUCGAGAAUUUUACCUUCUCGUCGGACCUUGAAGAUCCUUCAAAAUUUUCUCUUUUCGCCAACCUCCAUCUUGAUGGCAGCUCUUCCCUUGAUCAUAUCUUCAACAGACUUGGCAACCCAGAUAGCUGCCUCUAGAGUAGGUUCUUGACGUACGGGCACUGCAUACUCCCAUGGAAGUCCUUUUGCGUACUUGUCGAUUUUCGUCAGCUCAUCCGGAAAAAGACGUAAAGCAAACUCCAUCUUUUCUGUGAAGUUGUCCAUGUAUUCAUCGAUUGACAUGGUUCCCUUCUUCAGGGUUAGGAACUGGUUCUCUAGCUCAAGAAGGUUUUGAGCUGAGCAGUACUUUCGUUUGAAUUGCACUGGAAAUUCUGCACAUGUCAGUUGCAGGGGCUCAUUGGGGCUUAGGGCCUUCCCCAAGGUAUUCCACCAAUGUACAGCGCCUCCUCGAAACUGACGCACUGCAAACGUGGUCUGUAGUUUCCUCUACAACCUCACGUCAUGAAAGCUAACUCCAUCUCCGAGAUCCAAUCCAUGACCCCGAUCGGACCUUCCUUUCCCGUGAAAUUCGAUGGCUUGCAAGUCAUAAAAUCCUUGUACUUGCAUCCAUUCCUCUCGACUCUAUCAUCUUAGUUGUUUUGUUGAACUAUUGGUGGGUUGACUUGACCAACGGUUCCACUGUAGUUUCCCUCCUCAGUCUGCCCUUCAUUCAACUUGGGUUGUUCAAUUUGUAUGGUCGCUUCCUCUCGAUUUUGCUGGCGCAAACGUCUGGUUUCCUCCAUUUGACAAUCCAACAUCGCCUGGAUCAUUGCUUGCACUCCGGCCAUCNCUCCCGCCAUGGUGAUUGGCUCAGGUGCGACUUCUACUACGACUGGCAUUUGCUGUAUCACUGGGGGUUGAUCUCGGUUCCCAUUUUCAUUCACGUUUCCGCUACGGGUCCUUGCCAUCUUAUCUAUACACCGAAUAAGGUGAAUCUAGAUCCUUAUUUAGGAUUGGCAUUUAAAUCAUCCUUAUCACCCCGAAACGUUUAUAUGCUAGCUCUAAUAUCGUAGUCGUACGUUUAGAAUCCUAAACACAUAAGGUUUCCAGAUCCGGUCAGCAACAGACCAUAGAUCCGAACAAAUAACAGCAUAUCAGGCACAAGCAUUUAGCACAUAAAAGCAUUUUAGGCACAAUUCCUAAAAUAAGCUAGUCCCCACACCUCACAAUCAUCGCUUAGCAUUCUAAGUUUAAGUCUAGAAAUAAAUCCAUAUUUCUAGUUCAGUUAAACUAAUGCUUUGAUACCAACUGUGACAUCCCCAUUUGUACGGCCAAAAAAGACCAAUUUUGUUUAUGCUUUAUAAAAAUCAGAGUAUGUCUUUUAAUAAAAGUGUUGCGGAAUUUGUUCCCAGUAAAACAUGAUAAAUACAUUAUCAAAGCGUUUACGAAGAAAAGUAUUUUUAUUCAUUUUAAAACAUUUGGGAAGUCAUCAUCAAUACUGAAACAUAAGCAUAAACAGAACUAACAUUCAUUAUCACUAGUGAUCUACGUCUCUUUUAAAUCUCUUAGUCUAAUGUGACUUCAUAUCAACACCUGUGAUAUAAAUAAACUGAGUGGGUCAGGUUGGGAAACCUGGUGAGUACAUAGGGAUUUCAAUUCCACAAUGUUAUACCAUAUAUAUAGUUUAAAACUCACAAAAUAUACAAUUUCACCAUAUAUAUAAACAACUCUUAUCCCACACCGUCGAUCCUCACAACGAGACUAUCCAUACUCUCGGACCUAAGAUUAGCCGUUUUACCUAAUCCAUACUCCCGGAUCAGAAAUGAACGACUUUACCUAAUCCAUACUCUCGGACUAAGGACGAAUGACUAAUCCAUACUCUCAGAUUAAUGAUGAAUGAUUAUGCCUAAUCCAUACUCUCGGACUAGGGACAAUGACUAUGUCUAAUCCAUGCUCCCGGAUCAAUGACAUAUACUAAGGUUUUAUUCUCUGAGUAUAAUUCACUCGUUCUCGUAAGAAAACACUACCCAAUAUUCCUCAUAAUUAAUUUAGGUUUACUCUUUAUCCGAAAUCAGCAUAUAUAAACAGGUAUGUUAUUUAACAAGUAUCUCAGGCAACAUCACAUAAUUCGCACAUAAACAUAUAUUUAAUACAUUCAAUCAAUACUUGUAUUAAAAUCAUGUUCAUGAAACGGACUAUGCACACACUUGAUAAGGUGGUGACUCAGCACUCGGACAGCGCUUCGAUACUCUCAAAAUAAUUUUCCUUCGAUAAAACCUAGUAUCAAUACCACUAGGGUUUAGUCUAACGAUAGCCGCGACAAAUUAAUAGUCUAGUUAUUAUUAUUAUUAUAUAAGCGUUAAAUAACACUCAAUAUAACUCAUAAUAAUAUCCCAAAUAAUUAUUUUAAGGACCUAAUAACAUUACUAUAAUUAUUUGAAAGCUAUAUUAAAAAUUGCAUAAGCGUAGCUCACUUACAACAGAUUUUAAACAAAACUGGGCUUUGCACGGAGCAGCUUUUCCGAAACUGAAAGACCCUUUUUCUCGGGACUCCGGGAGCCUUGGAGCUUCCUUAGGGUGCUAGGGGUUCACCUAGACUUUUGGGGACUCAAAAGGGCUAGAGAGAGAAAGUUCUUAGAGAGAGAGAGUGGGAUUUGGUGCAAGAAAACUGGCUGCCCUCGCACCCCUUUUAUAGGUGCGAGGCUUCGCACUACGCGGGGCGUUAAGAAGGUUACGCGGGGCGUAACUUCGGAUAAGAAGACCAGGUGGCGAAGGCUCGGUGGUGCGACAUGGCUUCUCCUGGACCGAGCAAGGCUAUGCGAACACAGCGCGUACGAGACCGGACGCUGGUCGUAGCGAGGGGCUACGUGUCGCAAUCCGAAGCGACUUCUGGAACCAACAUCGAACGGCUGUGGCGCUGCCACGUCAUAAGUGUCGCACCAGACUUCAUAAUUUCGAAUUCGAACUUCACAAAUUCGUAUCUUUUUCAUACAAUCUCUAUUUUUGACGUUCUUUAUAUCCACGUGAAGGUGGGAGCGUACUUUACAACUUUCGUUUAGACUCCGUCGGCUAAUUUUGACUUUACUUUAAAAAAUACAUUAUUAACAGGCCGGGACAGGAUUAGUCCGUUAAAUUCUCAUAACUUCUUCAUCCAACGUCCGUUUCACCCAUCUUUUUCUCAUUACGCUACUCUUAACGAGAUCUUCGAUUCUCGUUUAGGUCGUGUCGGCUAAAAAC